rnacentral:rRNA from 1 species
AGAGUUUGAUUAUGGCUCAGAACGAACGCUGGCGGCAUGCCUAACACAUGCAAGUCGAACGAAGUCUUCGGACUUAGUGGCGCACGGGUGAGUAACAUGUGGGAAUCUACCUAAAGGUUCGGAAUAACUACGGGAAACUGUAGCUAAUACCGGAUGUGUCCGUAAGGAGAAAGAUUUAUCGCCUUUAGAUGAGCCCGCACUGGAUUAGUUUGUUGGUGAGGUAAGAGCUCCACCAAGACUACGAUCUAUAGCUGAUUUGAGAGGAUGAUCAGCCACACUGGGACUGAGACACGGCCCAGACUCCUACGGGAGGCAGCAGUGGGGAAUAUUGGACAAUGGGGGAAACCCUGAUCCAGCAAUGCCGCGUGAGUGAAGAAGGCCUUCGGGUUGUAAAACUCUUUCAUCAAUGAAGAUAAUGACAUUAAUUGAAGAAGAAGCUCCGGCUAACUCCGUGCCAGCAGCCGCGGUAAUACGGAGGGGGCUAGCGUUGUUCGGAAUCACUGGGCGUAAAGCGUAUGUAGGCGGAUCAAAAAGUUAGAUGUGAAAUCCCUGGGCUCAACCCAGGAACUGCAUUUAAAACUAGUGAUCUAGAAUUUGGUAGAGGUUAGUAGAAUUUCCAGUGUAGAGGUGAAAUUCGUAGAUAUUGGAAAGAAUACCAGUGGCGAAGGCGACUAACUGGGCCAUUUUUGACGCUGAGAUACGAAAGCGUGGGUAGCAAACAGGAUUAGAUACCCUGGUAGUCCACGCAGUAAACGAUGAGUGCUAGUCGCUGGGUCAAUAGAUUCGGUGUCGAAGCUAACGCAUUAAGCACUCCGCCUGGGAAGUACGGUCGCAAGAUUAAAACUCAAAUAAAUUGACAGGGGCCCGCACAAGC